AACGAACGCUGGCGGCAUGCCUAAUACAUGCAAGUCGAACGAGAUCUUCGGAUCUAGUGGCGCACGGGUGCGUAACGCGUGGGAAUCUACCCUUGGGUUCGGAAUAACAGUUAGAAAUGACUGCUAAUACCGGAUGAUGACGUAAGUCCAAAGAUUUAUCGCCCAAGGAUGAGCCCGCGUAGGAUUAGCUAGUUGGUGAGGUAAAAGCUCACCAAGGCGACGAUCCUUAGCUGGUCUGAGAGGAUGAUCAGCCACACUGGGACUGAGACACGGCCCAGACUCCUACGGGAGGCAGCAGUAGGGAAUAUUGGACAAUGGGGGCAACCCUGAUCCAGCAAUGCCGCGUGAGUGAUGAAGGCCUUAGGGUUGUAAAGCUCUUUUACCCGAGAUGAUAAUGACAGUAUCGGGAGAAUAAGCUCCGGCUAACUCCGUGCCAGCCGCCGCUGUAACAC
rnacentral:rRNA from 1 species